ensembl:lncRNA
UCCUCCCCGAGCCGGCUCUAGGGGUGCCAGCGCCUCCAAGGCGCGACUGUGCUAGGCUGUUGUGCUCGCUCUACGAACGCUAGGAGUCACUGCCCAGCCUUUACUGUCCAGAAGACGAGGUCUGAAAGUAUGAAAAGUCUCUUGACCUCCACCGGCCCGCUGCGUUUCCCUAGCAGAGGAACCUGGAGCUGUACGGCAGGCUUGAACUCCUGCCCUGAGCUCCUGGCCCUCCUCCACUUCUUUACCUCUCAGAGCCUUAUCCGGACACCUACACUAGCACCACCCCAGAAGCCAGGGCCUCAUGUCCUUGAACCCUGAUGGGCUGCAUGAAUUAGUUCCAAUUUGUAAUCCACUUCCAGAAUCCUUGCUGCCCCUGAAAAAUACACUGCCCACCUGUUCGUGGCUGCUGUUAGAUACUUACAUGAGGGCGGCACAGUCAGAGUACUAACAAGCCUGCAGUGCCCUCCACAAUGGGUAUAAAACUCAAAACUCAAAAUGGAUAUUCUGGAAUGAACUCGUGUUCGAAUCAGGAGGAAUUUGGACAUCCUUUAGUCUGCAACACCUGUUCCAUACUAGAAGAGACCCAAAGACAGAAAGUAACUUACUCAGUUAUCCAACAGGGGAUUGGGCAAUCUGGUCCACUGUGCCACACCACUCUAUGAAGCAGGUAGCUGGCCACUGCAGCAAGCAGAGGACUACUACGUCAAUGCUACAGUUCCACUGGCCCACAGUGGUUAGGAUUUCACCCAGGAACAGAUGACACAUUGCAGUUAGGAAAUUUAUGUGUGGGGUGCCAAAGUAAACCGCAGAGAUGAAGAAGUAACCUGGGGCUAGUACAACAGGGAGGCCCAUUGUCAACCCAAGGCUUCAAGUCUAGAAGCAGGAUUUCCAGGAUCCAAAAAACAGAGAGUAAGGAGAAACUUCCUGCCUGGGCAAAUGUUAUUAGUGAUCCCACUGGAGGGAGCUGGGUUCUAAGCAUCCCAACCUCCCCUCUCCUGCUAGGUUUCUGCAGGGGCUGAAGUCGUUGGGCCACAGGCCUAAGGAGCCCUUUAAGUCACUCCCUACUGGUGACACCUGAGGACACAGCAUGGUGGGAAAGAGGGUAGAGGAAAAAUUAGAAGACAAGCAGCACGCAUAACUCACUAAGACUUUGCUGAACAGAAAGUAAAGCCAUAUUAUCUGGAAGAUGCAGGGAAAUGGAGUGUUCAGAGGCAAGGCUAUGUAUGAGCAGACCAGCCAACAUUUGCCAGUGUAGAGCAAGACACCAAAAGAGAUUUCAUCAUCCAGAGCUUGAUCUGUUGUGUACCAAGUUCACUUACUCAGAUUGUUAUAGCUAUUCUUUCUCUGGAACUUAUCAAGAACAGAACUUUGCUUUUUAUUUCUUUGAAAUCCCUUCACACCACCCAAUAUGGUAUGAUUGACUCUCCGGCAGUUAGGUGAUUUUGCCCCCGGGGUCAGAAGGGAAUCUGGUCUCCAUUGUCCUGCUCUGCAAACCUGGGAAAAUGUGGAAGGCCAAGUUUGGCUUUUGGAACUCUUUCAGAAACACUCCUCAGUUAUAACUUGGCAAGUAGGAGCAGCAGAAUAAAAAAGGUUUUGUAAAGUGUGUGCACCCUAAAAAGAUAUCUUUCUGGCCAAAGACUGAGC